UACGAAGGGUGCAAGCGUUACUCGGAAUUACUGGGCGUAAAGCAUGCGUAGGUGGUUCGUUAAGUCUGUCGUGAAAGCCCCGGGCUCAACCUGGGAAUGGCGAUGGAUACUGGCGGGCUAGGGUGCGGUAGAGGAGAGUGGAAUUCCCGGUGUAGCAGUGAAAUGCGUAGAGAUCGGGAGGAACAUCAGUUGCGAAGGCGGCUCUCUGGACCAGCACUGACACUGAGGCACGAAAGCGUGGGGAGCAAACAGG
rnacentral:rRNA from 1 species